rnacentral:rRNA from 1 species
AUUGAACGCUGGCGGCAGGCCUAACACAUGCAAGUCGAACGCGUGGCGGACGGGUGAGUAAUGUCUGGGAAACUGCCCGAGGGAGGGGGAUAACUACUGGAAACGGUAGCUAAUACCGCAGACCAUCGGAUGUGCCCAGAUGGGAUUAGCUAGUAGGUGGGGUAACGGCUCACAUAGGCGACGAUCCCUCGCUGGUCUGAGAGGAUGACCAGCCACACUGGAACUGAGACACGGUCCAGACUCCUACGGGAGGCAGCAGGGGGGAAUAUUGCACAAUGGGCGCAAGCCUGAUGCAGCCAUGCCGCGUGUGUGAAGAAGGCCUUCGGGUUGUAAAGUACUUUCAGCGGGGAGGCGUUACUCGCACAAGAAGCACCGGCUAACUCCGUGCCAGCCGCCGCGGUAAUAC